rnacentral:lncRNA from 1 species
GAAUGACUACAGCUCCAGCUCGAGCUACUGAAUGCAGAAGUCCUCCGUGCUCUGGGAGACCUCACUGACCUAUAAAUGGACCUGGAGUUCCGUCUGAAACCAACAGUAAGGGUCUCCACGGGAAGUGUAGUUCAACUCCUGCCUCAAUUCUCCAUAAGGUUCUAGAACUGUGUUCUCUUUCCAGGGGAGAUGUGAGCCCUCUUUUGUGUUUUGGAUCUCUCUGGUAUCCAAGAAGUAUAUGAGUUUUUUCUCAGAUAUGGGAAAAUGGGGGAGGUAUAACAUAGUCUUCCCUGAGACUAGAAGAUCUUCUCACAACAGAGGAUGCUCUGAGUCAGCAGAUGGUGGAGAGAGUGAAGACCUUGUGUUCAUCCCAGUUCUCGGACUCCCUGAAUUCUUUUAAAAAAAUCUUUGUGUGGAGCUGAAGAGAUGGUUCUGCAGUUAAGAGCACUUGUUGCUCUUGUGGAGGACCUGGAUUUGCUUUCCAGCCCCCACAUACAUGGUGGCUCCCAGUCAUCUGUAACUCCAGUUCCAAGGGAUCUGACAUCGUCUGAUUUCCUCAGGCACCUGCAGACCUAUGAUGCACAGACAAAAUACCUAUAAACAUAAAAUAAAUGUUUUUAAAAAUU